AUCCAGCUGACGAGUCCCAAAGAGGACGAAACGCAAGUCCUGGAU
rnacentral:hammerhead_ribozyme from 1 species